AUUGAACGCUGGCGGCAUGCCUUACACAUGCAAGUCGAACGGUAACGCGGGGGCAACCCUGGCGACGAGCGGCGAACGGGUGAGUAAUACAUCGGAACGUACCUGGUAGUGGGGGAUAGCCCGGCGAAAGCCGGAUUAAUACCGCAUACGCACCACGGUGGAAAGCGGGGGACCGCAAGGCCUCGCGCUAUCAGAGCGGCCGAUGGCAGAUUAGCUAGUUGGUGGGGUAAAAGCCUACCAAGGCGACGAUCUGUAGCUGGUCUGAGGGGACGACCAGCCACACUGGGACUGAGACACGGCCCAGACUCCUACGGGAGGCAGCAGUGGGGAAUUUUGGACAAUGGGGGAAACCCUGAUCCAGCGAUGCCGCGUGUGUGAAGAAGGCCUUCGGGUUGUAAAGCACUUUUGUUCGGGAAGAAAUCUGUCGGGCUAAUACCCUGGCGGGAUGACGGUACCGGAAGAAUAAGCACCGGCUAACUACGUGCCAGCCGCCGCCGUAA
rnacentral:rRNA from 1 species